rnacentral:rRNA from 1 species
GUCCAUGCUUCCAAGAAAAGCAUCUAGAGAGAGAAGUAGUGCCCGUACCGCAAACCGACACAGGUAGAUGAGGAGAGAAUCCUAAGGCCGGCGGAAGAAUUGCAGUUAAGGAACUAGGCAAAUUGACCCCGUAAGUUAGCGAGAAGGGGUGCCUGCGAGAGCAGGCCGCAGAGAAUAGGCCCAAGCAACUGUUUAGCAAAAACACAGGUCUCUGCUAAAGCGCAAGCUGAUGUAUAGGGGCUGACGCCUGCCCGGUGCUGGAAGGUUAAGGGGAACACUUAGCGCAAGCGAAGGUGUGAACUUAAGCCCCAGUAAACGGCGGCCGUAACAAUAACGGUCCUAGGUAGCGAAAUUCCUUGUCAGGUAAGUUCUGACCCGCACGAAUGGCGUAAUGACUUGGGCACUGUCUCAACUGCAAAUCCGGCGAAGUUGUAGUGCGAGUGAAGAUGCUCGCUACCCGCGAUUGGACGGAAAGACCCCGUAGAGCUUUACUGUAGCUUAGCAUUGAAUUCCGGUAUUGUCUGUACAGGAUAGGUGGGAGACUGGGAAACUAGGGCGUCAGCCUUAGUGGAGUCGUCCUUGGGAUACCACCCUGACAGUACUGGGGUUCUAACAGGACGCCAUGAAUCUGGUGACUGGACAUUGUUAGGUGGGCAGUUUGACUGGGGCGGUCGCCUCCUAAAAAGUAACGGAGGCGCCCAAAGGUUCCCUCAGAACGGUCGGAAAUCGUUCGUAGAGUGCAAAGGCAGAAGGGAGCCUGACUGCGAGACCUACAAGUCGAGCAGGGACGAAAGUCGGGCUUAGUGAUCCGGUGGUACCUCGUGGGAGGGCCAUCGCUCAACGGAUAAAAGCUACCUCGGGGGUAACAGGCUGAUCUCCCCCAAGAGUCCACAUCGACGGGGAGGUUUGGCACCUCGAUGUCGGCUCGUCGCAUCCUGGGGCUGUAGUAGGUCCCAAGGGUUGGGCUGUUCGCCCAUUAAAGCGGCACGCGAGCUGGGUUCAGAACGUCGUGAGACAGUUCGGUCCCUAUCCGUCGCGGGCGUAGGAAAUUUGAGAGGAGCUGUCCUUAGUACGAGAGGACCGGGAUGGACUGACCUCUGGUGCACCAGUUGUUCUGCCAAGAGCAUGGCUGGGUAGCUAAGUCGGGAAGGGAUAAACGCUGAAAGCAUCUAAGCGUGAAGCCUCCCUCAAGAUGAGAUUUCCCAUAGCAUAAGCUAGUAAGACCCCUUGAAGAACACGAGGUUGAUAGGUCAGAGGUGUAAGUGUGGUAACAUAUUUAGCUGACUGAUACUAAUAGGUCGAGGGCUUGACC